rnacentral:tRNA from 1 species
GCCCCGUUAGCUCAAUUGGAUUAGAGCGCGUGGCUUCGGACCACGAGGCUAGAGGUUCGAGUCCUCUACGGGGUA